GGGGGUAUAGCUCAGUGACAAAAUGUGUGUUUAGCACAUGCAAGGUCCUGGGUUCAAUCUCCAGUACCUCCA
rnacentral:tRNA from 1 species